rnacentral:rRNA from 1 species
AGGACGAACGCUGGCGGCGUGCCUAACACAUGCAAGUGGAGCGACGAACCAGGCUUCGGCCUGGGGCAAAGCCGCGAACGGGUGAGUAACACGUGGGUAACCUGCCCCGAUGACCGGGACAACCCGAGGAAACUCGGGCUAAUACCGGAUGUGUCCUCCGGCCAUAAGGCCGCUGGGGAAAGGAAGCUUCGGCCUCCGCAUCGGGAUGGGCCCGCGGCCCAUUAGCUUGUUGGUGAGGUAACGGCUCACCAAGGCGACGAUGGGUAGCUGGUCUGAGAGGACGAUCAGCCACACUGGGACUGAGACACGGCCCAGACUCCUACGGGAGGCAGCAGUGGGGAAUCUUGCGCAAUGCGCGAAAGCGUGACGCAGCAACGCCGCGUGGGGAAGACGGCCUUCGGGUUGUAACCCCUUUCAGUGGGACGAAGCUUGCCGGUGACAGCCGGUUGGAGUGACGGUACCUUCAGAAGAAGCCCCGGCUAACUACGUGCCAGCAGCCAC